rnacentral:rRNA from 1 species
UACGUAGGGGGCGAGCGUUGUCCGGAAUUACUGGGCGUAAAGGGCGCGCAGGGCGGCCGUGUAAGUCCGCUGUGAAAGACCGGGGCUCAACCCCGGGGUGUCAGCGGGGACUGCACGGCUGGAGUCCCGGGAGGGGGAGGCGGAAUACCGUGGUGUAGCGGUGGAAUGCGUAGAGAUCAGGUGGAACACCGAUGGCGAAGGCAGCCUCCUGGACGGGGUACUGACGCUGGAGGCGACGAAAGCGUGGGGGAGCGAACGGG